GUUAAACUCUAAUCACAUCUUUUCGUUCUUCAUUUCUCCCUGCAUCCGAAUAACGAUUUAUGAAGCUUUUCAUUCGUCGUCUUCCAUCGCUUCGGUGUAUCUGCACAAAUCGUGGACCUCUCCAUUUUGAAUCUCGGCAAAGCGAAGAGAAGUAGUGUGGAGUGAGUAUAACAUUUCUGUAAGUUCCGUUGGCGGCUGAAAUUUCUCGAUAACAUUCUGCUUUUGUAGACUCUUGACAGUGGAAGGAAGAAGGCGAUCGAGUAAUUGGCUAUUACGCGCGCCGCUGUAUAGAAGAUGAUCGAGAUUCUGUACGAAGCAAACCAACAGUUUCGAGGCUAUAUCUAAGCUGGAGUUUUACGAGAUUGAGGUUUCUGCGGGAAUAUGUUGUGCUUAACGAAUCGGCUGUAUGCUCAUUCUUCACUGAUCGCAGUUUAGGUUCUUGAUUCCUUAGAUAACCAGAUUGAGCUCAAUUUUCUUUUACAUUUAAGUGUUUCUAUUUUACAGUUUAUGCUGCUGGAUCAUCUAAAAAGCUCAUUCUCGAUUGAAGUGUUUUAGAAACAUCAUUUUCUUCCAAGGUUUACGUCAGAUAAUUUCCGUUUUGUUUUCCGCCAAUACUGCCUAAGUUUAAUCAGGGAGGAAACAUCUGCUCAAACACGGUCAGUUUUGGAAUACAUUAUUGGAGACUUCAUGAACUACUAGGAUUCGGUUCGUCAUGUAAUCUUACAAGUGACUCAUGAUUUCGUACACUUCGUACCGUGGAAUAAAAUAGAGGAUUGAGUAACCAGUAACUCAAGGCGUUGAUAUAUGGCAGAUGAUCAAGAUUCUGCUCGAAGCAAGUGAGUAGAACUCACUUAAUGUGUGAAGAAGGAACUCUCAGUUUGGUCCGAGGCGUAUGUAUCUAAACCUCGAAAAAGUAAUCUCCCAAAGAGACUGCUGCAUCUAAUCAAUCUCUGACUAGUUGAACUUUUGGUUUUGCAUUAUAUCUACGCUGGAUUUCGAACGGGAUUGAGGUUUCUGCGAGAUUAUCUCGUGCUUCUCGAGCUGACAGUAAGCUCAUUCUUCACUGAUUGCAGGGAGGAACACCUACUCAAAUUUGGUCAGUUUUGGUCCUCGUAUUGCACUUUGUUGGAGGAGACUUUAUGAGCUAAGAUAUUCUGGCAUAAGGCGUCAGUUCAAAAAUUGAGCCACAUGUCUACCAAUCAAGAUGUUUUCUGAAUUGUGGCGUUUAGGUAAGCCUUCCUUGUCUGGUUUCUCUUGUCAUAAUCAGUCUUUUAUUCAUAAUAUACUAUUAUACAUUUUAUUUGACACACACACACACACACACAUUUUAUGAGAAGGCAUUCAGGUA